CACGUAGGGGGCGAGCGUUGUCCGGAUUUAUUGGGCGUAAAGAGCUCGUAGGUGGCUCGGUAAGUCGGGUGUGAAAACUCGGGGCUCAACCCCGAGACGCCACUCGAUACUGCUGUGGCUUGAGUCCGGUAGGGGAGCGUGGAAUUCCUGGUGUAGCGGUGAAAUGCGCAGAUAUCAGGAGGAACACCGGUGGCGAAGGCGGCGCUCUGGGCCGGUACUGACACUGAGGAGCGAAAGCGUGGGGAGCAAACAGG
rnacentral:rRNA from 1 species